CGGAGCGCAGACGCCGCCCGCCCGCGGGGAGGAUGCUCCGGUUCCCGGUUCCCGAGUGGCGGUGACGGGACCCGGUGGGCGCCGCCGAGAGGCCGCGGAGCGGGGAGUCCGGGGCGCGGCCCGCAGCCAACCGCGCAGCUCGGGCAAGGGAACCAGGCGGGGAGCACCGCGGAGCCCCCGGGAGGCCCGGGGCUUGGCUCUGACGCCUGGUCCCCGAGCAGGCCCCAGCAGGCCCCGAGCAGGCCCCGAAACCCGGUUGCGGCCGCUCAUCCUCGACCUCGACCUCGACCUCGACCUCUCGGGCGACCCUCAGCACAGCCCACGUCCCCUCCUGGCCUCUUCAUCCACAGCCAGUGAUGCUCACGCAGCCAUGGGCUGGAAUGCGAGGGUCACCGAGGGUCACCGGAAGGAAGCCUCGAGGCCACUGAGGCCCCCACACCUGGAGAGACCUGCGCCUCCAGAGGCUGCUGGGGCUGCGUCCCGGGUGUGCCGGCCUCCCAGGCCCGACCCAACGCCCCGAACCAAUCUCCCAGGAGACUGGACAGGCCUGCACUGUUCUGGUCAACUGUGAGAUGGCAAUUGGAUAAGAAAUGGUUAAAACCAGGAAACUCCACAUUUCUAGAGAAUGUCAGAGGGACUUUCCCAUGGCAACACCUGGUGGUUUCCUCCGGCAGCCGCACCCGCACCCCGACCGCCCUGCACCAGAACAGGAGCCCGGCUGAGAACUGCCUCUGCCCUCAGGCAGACCAGACCGAGCAGACCUGUGAUAACCCCCAGUCACAGGGGGGUGCUGGGCCUGCCCCGCCGCUGCCCGCCUCUUCUCCCGGCAGAACCGGGUCACCAGACCCUCCCAGCUCUCCAUCCGGCAUUCCCGGCUGUCCGCGGGCCUGGCAGCGAGAGAAUUGCACAUCCUUGGUACCUUCUGAUGAGAUCAGAUUUUGUUGGGAAUCCUCCAUGAGGUCACAUCCUCUGUGUGGACGAGCUCUGGUCCCAGCUGCGCAGUAUGGCCCUUGUUUCCCUGUGGGGAGGCACGAGAGUCUGGCGGGCUCCUGAGGGGAAGAGGAAGUCUGUAAGAGGGCACAGCAUAUUUUCCUGAGUGGCUCUGAGGAGUCCUAGAAAUAGAAGUGGCAAUCCAAAGGUAGGACAAAGACCAAAGGUGGGAUGAAGAGGGUCUUUGAUGGCAACUCUCAGGGAAAAAGCUCCCAUCUACCUUCUACAAAGGGAGGCCGAAGGUGUAGGGGAAAGGACAGGAGCUUUACUAACACAGCGGCUGGCAUCCUAACUGCUGCUUACUCUGCACAGCAUGCAUGGUCAGCCCUUCCAUUUGUGCUCCGUAAGUCCCCCUUAUCCUGCACCUUCCUUCUUCCCACCCUACGGGGUCUUGACCUUGAGCUAGUCACCCAACCUUUCUCAGACAGUUGCUGUAAGAGCAACAUGAGAUGAAGUACCUGCUACCCGGUAGGCCCUGAAUAAAUACUGAUUGCAUCUUC